rnacentral:rRNA from 1 species
AUUGAACGCUGGCGGCAUGCCUUACACAUGCAAGUCGAACGGCAGCGGGGGAGAAGCUUGCUUUUCCUGCCGGCGAGUGGCGAACGGGUGAGUAAUACAUCGGAACGUGCCCUGUAGUGGGGGAUAACUAGUCGAAAGAUUAGCUAAUACCGCAUACGACCUGAGGGUGAAAGUGGGGGACCGCAAGGCCUCAUGCUAUAGGAGCGGCCGAUGGCUGAUUAGCUAGGUGGUGGGGUAAAGGCCUACCAAGGCGACGAUCAGUAGCUGGUCUGAGAGGACGAUCAGCCACACUGGGACUGAGACACGGCCCAGACUCCUACGGGAGGCAGCAGUGGGGAAUUUUGGACAAUGGGCGAAAGCCUGAUCCAGCAAUGCCGCGUGUGUGAAGAAGGCCUUCGGGUUGUAAAGCACUUUUGUCCGGAAAGAAAUGGCUCUGGUUAAUACCUGGGGUCGAUGACGGUACCGGAAGAAUAAGGACCGGCUAACUACGUGCCAGCCGCCGCAGUAA